UACGGGAGGCAGCAGUGGGGAAUAUUGCACAAUGGGCGAAAGCCUGAUGCAGCUAUGCCGCGUGUAUGAAGAAGGCCUUAGGGUUGUAAAGUACUUUCAUCGGGGAGGAAAAACAAAACUAAUAAUUUUAUUUCUUGACGUUACCCGAAAAAGAAGCACCGGCUAACUCCGUGUCAGCAGCCGCGGUAAUACGGAGGGUGCUAGCGUUAAUCAGAAUUACUGGGCGUAAAGAGCACGUAGGUGGUUUUUUUAAGUCAGAUGUGAAAUCCCUGGGCUUAACCUAGGAACUGCAUUUUGAAACUGAAAUACUAGAGUAUCGUAGAGGGAGGUAGAAUUCUAGGUGUAGCGGUGAAAUGCGUAGAUAUCUGGAGGAAUACCUGUGGCGAAAGCGGCCUCCUAAACGAAUACUGACACUGAGGUGCGAAAGCGUGGGGAGCAAACAGGGAUUAGAUA
rnacentral:rRNA from 1 species